CAGGAAGGUUGCUCAGUUGAUAGACUGGCUCCUCAAAAAGGGUGACAUCUCUGCUGGAAAGGUCAAUCUAUCUGUCCUCAGGUUUACCCUAACAGCUCUAGUCUCCACCAUCUCCCACUUCAUGCUCAUCUGGAUGCCAGCAAGAAAUUUGUUAUUGUUCAGUCAUGUCUAACCAUUUGUGAUGGACCCUGAGACGUUAUUCCAAUCUUUCCAUCUGAAGUCUACUUCUAUAGCAAGACAAAAAGUAAGAGUGAAAAAAAGAACACUAAAGGCUUAGGAGCAUCAAGACAAGAAUACUGAGCCCCACUGUUGUGGGGAUUUAAAAAUAUUUAUUAUAUAUCAAUUAAAGGCAGGGUGUGUGAGCAGGCUGGGUAUAAUAAAAGACAUAGUCUUUGAUCUCA
rnacentral:lncRNA from 1 species